ACUCCUACGGGAGGCAGCAGUGGAGAAUAUGCAGCAUGGCGCCAAGCUGAUGCAGCCAUGCCGCGUGUGUGAAGAAGGCCUUCGGGUUGUAAAGCACUUUCAGUCGUGAGGAAGGUAGUGUAGUUAAUAGCUGCAUUAUUUGACGUUAGCGACAGAAGAAGCACCGGCUAACUCCGUGCCAGCAGCCGCGGUAAUACGGAGGGUGCGAGCGUUAAUCGGAAUUACUGGGCGUAAAGCGCAUGCAGGUGGUUUGUUAAGUCAGAUGUGAAAGCCCGGGGCUCAACCUCGGAAUUGCAUUUGAAACUGGCAGACUAGAGUACUGUAGAGGGGGGUAGAAUUUCAGGUGUAGCGGUGAAAUGCGUAGAGAUCUGAAGGAAUACCGGUGGCGAAGGCGGCCCCCUGGACAGAUACUGACACUCAGAUGCGAAAGCGUGGGAGCAAACAGGAUUAGAUACCCUGGUAGGUGA
rnacentral:rRNA from 1 species